GCCCCCCAUGGCGCCGCCUCCACGUGGCGGGGUGGGCAACUCACCCACAAGGGUGAGGCGAAGAGCGCC
rnacentral:ribozyme from 1 species